rnacentral:rRNA from 1 species
UUGGGCAAUGGGCGAAAGCCUGACCCAGCAACGCCGCGUGAGGGAUGAAGUAUUUCGGUAUGUAAACCUCGAAAGAAUGGGAAGAAUAAAUGACGGUACCAUUUAUAAGCUCCGGCUAACUACGUGCCAGCAGCCGCGGUAAUACGUAGGGAGCAAGCGUUGUUCGGAUUUACUGGGCGUAAAGGGCGCGUAGGCGGCGCGGUAAGUCACUUGUGAAAUCUAUGAGCUUAACUCAGAACGGCCAAGUGAUACUGCUGUGCUAGAUUGCGGAAGAGGCAAUCGGAAUUCUUGGUGUAGCGAUGAAAUGCGUAAAUAUCAAGAGGAACUCCUGAGGCGAAGGCGAGUUGCUGGGCCUACACUGACGCUGAUGCGCGAAAGCCAGGGGAGCAAACG